GCCCCCGUAGCUCAAAGGAUAGAGCACAGGUUUCGUAGUCCGGAGAUGUCAGUUCGAGUCUGGCCGGGGGCA
rnacentral:tRNA from 1 species